UACCUAAGCAAGCCUGGGCAAUGGCGGGCGCCCCUCCCCCAGCCUGGCUGCCGCCUUGCAGUUUGAUCUCAGACUGCUGUGCCAGCAAUCAGCAAGACUCCAUGGGCGUCGUAGGACCCUCUGAGCCAGGCCCAGUAAAAGAUUAACAUCAAUAACUAAUAAUCAACUGGAACAAUACAAUGACAGUCAAUCUGAUGACCAAGAUGGCUACCGAGUGACGGAAGAGUGGGUAGCAUACACAGCAGGGAGACAUUGGACAAAGGAUGACUCACAUACCAGAUGGGACAGAACAGGCUCAUGGAAGGUUGCAUCAAGAUGUACUGAUUGCUCUGACCUCCUCUCGUAAACAGGCAUUCUACUGGAACGUGUAAGAUAAUUUUUGCCAUCUGUCAUUUUCUUCUUCUUGAGAAAGGAGGAGAAUUACUGAGAAACAAGAAAAUGGUUUCUAGAAGAAAAUUCAGGACCUAGAAACAGUUAAUAUAAGUUGUAUCCUUGGGAAUUUCCAAGCAUACCAAAUGACUACCAGGCAAGAGAAUGUUAAGCUAUACCAGACAAUUUAAUCACCUGCAUCCAGGAUAUGAAAUCCAGAAGUUUCAAUACUAUUAGCAGACUCUGACCAUCAGAAUUUUUUUUUUUUUAUACAACUUACAUUUCUCUCAUGAGAGUUUAAGUCUGCUUCCUUGUCUUAUACUCAGGGAAGAUGAAAGGCAGGUAACAUAUCCUGUAAAAUAAUUAACUGUAAGGUUGUUAAGUUAUUCUCCUGCCUUUGCUAUUGCAGUUUAAGUAAACAGUAAAUUAGUUUAAACUUUUCCUACAUCAUUACUUUAGUUAAUGAAUUCUAUUUCUUAGAGCAGUUUUAGAUUGAUAGAAAAAUUAAACAUAGAAUGCAGACAUUUCCCAUCAUCAAUUUAUUUCUAUUUAACUAAAUGGUUAAAAACUCUUAUUCUUUUGAAAACGUCACUAAGGAAUUUAUGUUGUCAAACAAUAAAGCCAUAUUUACUGAUACUGCAUGUAAGGGUUAUGACAACACAAAAGAUGCUGGGAAAAUGGAUGAGCACCUUCAAAUAAUAGUGCAUAAUGAUGUUGGACUAGCUGACAACAUUAAAGUCUGCAAAGGUAAAGGUUAGAAGAGACCUAAUGGCUUCUUCCUCUUUUUUUUUUUUUUUUUUGGCAACGGAGUCUUGCUCUGUCGCCCAGGC
rnacentral:lncRNA from 10 species